rnacentral:rRNA from 1 species
UUGAACGCUGGCGGCCGGCCUAACACAUGCAAGUCGAACGGUAACAGGAAGAAGCUUGCUUCUUUGCUGACGAGUGGCGGACGGGUGAGUAAUGUCUGGGAAACUGCCUGAUGGAGGGGGAUAACUACUGGAAACGGUAGCUAAUACCGCAUAACGUCGCAAGACCAAAGAGGGGGACCUUCGGGCCUCUUGCCAUCGGAUGUGCCCAGAUGGGAUUAGCUAGUAGGUGGGGUAACGGCUCACCUAGGCGACGAUCCCUAGCUGGUCUGAGAGGAUGACCAGCCACACUGGAACUGAGACACGGUCCAGACUCCUACGGGAGGCAGCAGUGGGGAAUAUUGCACAAUGGGCGCAAGCCUGAUGCAGCCAUGCCGCGUGUAUGAAGAAGGCCUUCGGGUUGUAAAGUACUUUCAGCGGGGAGGGAGGGAGUAAAGUUAAUACCUUUGCUCAUUGACGUUACCCGCAGAAGAAGCACCGGCUAACUCCGUG